UUGCCAGCAUUCAGUUGGGCACCUUAAGAGACUGCCGGUGUUAAACCGGAGGAAGGUGGGGAUGACGUCAAGUCCUCAUGGCCUUUAUGCUUAGGGCUACACACGUGCUACAAUGGGUGGUACAAAGAGAAGCCAACUCGCGAGAGCGCGCCAAUCUCAAAAAGCCAUCCUCAGUUCGGAUUGGAGUCUGCAACUCGACUCCAUGAAGUUGGAAUCGCUAGUAAUCGCGGAUCAGCAUGCCGCGGUGAAUACGUUCCCGGGCCUU
rnacentral:rRNA from 1 species